UACAGAGGGUGCGAGCGUUAUUCGGAAUUACUGGGCGUAAAGGGCGCGUAGGCGGUUAGUUAAGUUAGAUGUGAAAUCCCUGGGCUUAACCUAGGAACUGCAUCUGAUACUGGCUAGCUAGAGUGCAGUAGAGGGUAGUGGAAUUUCCGGUGUAGCGGUGAAAUGCGUAGAUAUCGGAAGGAACACCUGUGGCGAAAGCGGCUCACUGGACCAUUACUGACGCUGAUGCACGAAAGCUAGGGGAGCAAACAGG
rnacentral:rRNA from 1 species